AAUCUGCUACCAGGAAACAUUCUUUUUUUUGAACAAAAAAACGACAACAAAGAGUCAAAACACUAUAUUACGUUGUCGAAACCGUCCCUCGAUUUAAAAAUAAUUAUGAUUUUUAAAAAAAGGGAAAUCGACUUUUUGGAAAGUAGAAAUAUGCAGUCGCCACCGAUCUUUGUUUUGGUGUGAUCGGAUCACCUAAGAAUAAAGUCAUAACAUUUUUUGUUUACUAAAACAAAGAUUUUGGUCUACGAACUUUUGAGAAAACGGGUUCGGGAUUCGGUUACACAUGAGGAAGGAUUAGCACCCUCAUUACGCCCAAAAUUGGUACCAAAUCGAUUAAAUACUAUCCUUGUGUCUAAAUUAAAAGUUUUUGAAAUGUGGUUCCUUUUAUAACGUUUGAGUAAUCCGACUUGGUUGCCAAAAUUUCUUGUUUCGAUGUCCGGAAGUAUAUAAUUUGAGGAUUACAGAAGGAUGCUCAACUAUUUAGUCCAACAAAAAAUCGAAACCCAGCACAGUAGGGUACGAUUCUUCGAAUUUCCAAAUAUUGACCAUUUCCUUACUUUAUAAAAUACGUGUGAAAAUUUCGAGGACAUAUUCGAUUAUUUUGGGCAAAUGAGAAAGCGCAACCCAGCACGAUAGGGCUCGAUUCUCAAAUCGCCAAACAUCAAACAUCGCCUUCAUUUUAAAAGAUUUUAGAAAAUGUGAGGGGAAUUCUAAAGGGAUAUUCAAUUGUUUCGGACCAAUGAAAAAGCGCAACCCAGCACGAUAGGGCACGAUUCUCAAAUCGCCAAACAUUAAACAUCGUCUUCGUUUUUGAGUAUUUUUUAUAAACACGAGUGAGAAUGUAAAGGAAUGUUCGAUCAUUUUGAGCAAACCACGAACCACAACCCAGCACGAUAGAGCAUGAUUCUCGAAUUAUCAAACGCCAAACAUUACCUUCGUUUAAAAAAUUUUUUAGAAGAUAUGAAUGGAAUUUUGAAGGGAAGCCCGAUUAUUUUGAGCAAACGCAAAAUUGCAACCCAACACGUUAGGGCACGAUUCCGCGAAUUGCUAAAUAUCGAACCUCGUCUUCGUUUUGAGGAAUUUUAAAAGGCGUGAGUGAAAUUUCGAAGUGAUAUUCGAUUAUUGUGAGCAAACGCGAAAUCGCAACCCAACACGUUAGGGCACGAUUCCACGAAUUGCCAAACAUCGAAUCUUGCCUUCAUUUUUAAAGAAUUUUUGAAUGAAUGAUUAUAGAGCUAGCUUAAGACGUAUUAAUUCAAUUUGAAAUAGGACGAGAUUAAUCAUAAAAUUUGGAUUUUAUAAAACCGCAUUUCAAAAAUCAAAUGGAAAACGAUGAAUGAGGUAAUAUACACAUACGAGAUACAAUACUUAACGAAUCAACUAACAGAACAAGCUAUUAAAUAUAAUUAAUCUAGGAAUUAUAGCCUAAUUUCAAUCAUGUAUGAUGAGUAAUUAACAGUUCAAUAAGGUGGAUGUCAUGCAAGGAAUGUACAUAUAUAAAGCAACCAAAAGAGCGUAUGCAAAACAAAAUAGAAUUUAGAAGUCAAAGUGGUAUAAGACGAUGUCGGAACAAAUGCGAUCUAAUGAACCAAAAAUCUUUACGACAUGCAAAUUAAUGAAUUGGUGCACUUUAAAAUUUAUUUGUAAAAAAGGAAAAAUUAGGGAUACAGGCUUAAUCAUUUAAAAUACACAUUAUAAAACGAAUACUUAAAUCGAAAAUCGUACCAAAACGUUGAAUAUUAUUGUUUUUUAAAAAUGAUGAUUUAUAUAAUAAGGAUUUACAAUGUGUAAAAUAUAUUAAAAAUAAUAAUAGUAAAAAUGUAUAGUACAAUAUAACUUUUAAAAAAACCUAAUGGAUCUACAAAUCAUAUGUAUAUAUAUAAAUAACCUUUAAAAAUAAUUAUUUGUAAAAACAUAGAAGCGCAUGCAUGAUUAAAUUAAUUUUAUAACGAAUUAUAUAAUAAUUUUAAGAAAAAAAAAUAUAUAUAUUACGUAAAGUUAUACAAUAAAGGGUGGGAAUAAAUUAAAAAAUGUAUAUGUAAGAUACUAUAGGAUUAAUAAAAUGAGCCUUGCUAUAAAGUACAUAUAUAUAUACAUAUAGAAGAGCACUUUAAACAGACAAAUUUAAAAAGACAAUAAAUCGAUAGAUACACAGUUACAUAUGGGUAUAUACAUAUGCAUGUAUAUAAUAAUAAAUUAAAAGAAAUAUUUCGUAAAAUUAUAUAAUCAAAUAUAAGAGUAUAUUUAAAUGAAUCGCAUGUAUAAGAAAAUGACAUAAGAUUGAUAAGGGUAUAUGUAUGAAAGAAACUGUUAACACAAAACAUAAAUGUGUACAUAUAUAUAUAUAACAGCGUAUAUAAAAUAAAGAAAAAAAAACUUACAAUAGUGGUCUUGAAACGAAAUAACAUUAUUAGAAUAACUUAAAAAGGGCAAAUUAAAAAAGGAAUAAACUAUUAAUAAAAGGGAUUUGAUUAAAAUACACUCAAAUUGAAUGGGCUAAUUUAUAAAUGAAGUAAUCAAAAGGGGACCAAAAUGCGAAACGCACAAAUGCCCAGGGACCCAAACUGGAAUUAAUCCAGGCCCUAAAACGGUGCACACAAGCGCGAACUGAAAUGCAAACGAGCAAAUUGUAAGGCCAAAUUAAAAAAGAAAUGAAAAAAAAAUCAAGCGUUAUUGAUUGCCCAUACAAAAGGAGGGUCCGUUUGCGAAAUUACCCCCUCUCCGCAGAAACGCGCGAGUCAUAGGGUCGAAAAAUGGAUCGGGUUGGGUGUAUUAAAACGACACCGUGGAGAGCUCUUGGGCAAGGCUUAAAACGGUUCCAUUUAAAGCCCUAUAAAAAGGCUUAUUUUAGCCUGUUCGGCCAACCCUAGCCUCAUUUCCUCCCUUCAGCCGCAACCUACUCUUUUCCCUCAAAACGACCAGUCCACCGCAAGGUACGGCGACCGGUGCUCGCAAACUUCGAAGCAUGGCUCCUUUCAGCCACCAGCUCCCCUUUCAACUCCGAUUUUGACGAAGCGAAAGGGAAUCAACGACCCUAAAUCAAGGUAAGUCCCCUCUUUUUGGAUGUAAAUGAUAUAUGUAUGAAAGGGAAAAUCGGAGAAACUAGAGAAUAGAACCGAAGAACAAAGAUUACCUUUUUUCCUUUGUAUUGCUCCUGUGAGCGUUUGUAUUUUGAAAUGAAAAUAUAGUGCGCGUAACAGUGUUUUUCGUUGCGUAAAUGCGCGUAACCCAUUACAAUGAACAGUUUUCUGGCUUUAUAGCCGAAACAAAAGAAAAACAAAUAAAAGAAAUACAUAUUUUCUCUUUUGUGUCUGUUUGUUGCUGUGUUUGUCUUGUUCGCAGGUACGGAGCAGAGGACAUGCGCUGGCCCUUGGUGCGAGGCAUACGGGGUGGUGCUGGCGUGUGUACGGGAGCGUGUGUGGUGCCAGGAGGAAUGUACGAGGGCUGUUGACGUAGAGGCACGAGCGUACUGGGCUGGGGCUCAUCUGUGGUUGCGGCACGGAAGUGAUGAAGACGCUCUAGGGUUUCUUUUCUCAGAAUACUGGGCCUAACGGGCCUGUAUUUGGGUCUUGGGUCAUUUAGGGUAUUGGCCUCUAGAUUUAGGUCAGGGUUUGUUACAAAUUUGGGCUAGGAUUUAUGUAACUGGGCUUGUUAUUGGUUAUUAGGCCAUGUAAUUGGACUAUUAUAAAACUUGGGUUUUAAAAAAAAAAUUGUUUAUUGAUUUAUCUUGUAUUUUGUUUUGGGUUUUUUGUGUUUGUUUGGGCCGGGCAAAUUUGGCCCACUACAGCUGCCCCUCUUUGCUCAUUGUCGUGUAACGAGAAUAGAGCAAAGACUAUAAAUGGGCCAAUUUUGCCGGGACCUGCUGAGUCUCGACUUCUUGGUGCUUCUUUUCUUCAAGUAGCUUCAGUAUGCUCCACUGCAACUUCAGGGAGACAUGGUUCGUGUGUUUUUAUCCUGCUCUACUGCAACUUCAGAGAGAUAAGGAUCGUGACUUUGAUUUUGCUCCACUGCAACUUCAGGGAGACAAAAUCUUGCAAUCUUCAGCCUAUUGCCCUACUACUUAGGGGGUUUAAGGCUCGUUUUCUCUGAUCUGCUCCACUGGAUACGAGAUCUACAAUCGUCAGCCUACUCCACAACAACUUUAGGGAGCUAGGGUGGUAGUCUAAAUCUGCUUCACUGCAACAUCAGGAAACCUAGAUUCACCGUCUUUGAUCUGUUCGACUGCAAUCUCAGGGAAACAAAAUCUAUAUUUCUCAGCCUACUCCACUACAACUUUAGGGAGCUAGGUUAAUGGCUUAAAUCUGCCUGACUGCAACUUCAGGAAGCCUAGAUUCGCCGUCUUCAAUCUGCUCCACUGUAACUUCAGGGAAAGGAGACCUAAAAUUUCAGCCUACUCCACUACAACUUUAGGGAGCUAGGUUAGUAACUUAAAUCUACUUCACUGCAACUUUAGGAAGCCAAGAUUCGUCGUCUUUGAUCUGCUCCACUGCAACUUCAGGGAAACGAGAUCUAAAAUUUCAACCUACUCCACUACAACUUUAGGGAGCUAGGUUAAUGACUUAAAUCUGCUUCACUGCAACUUCAGGAAGCCAAGAUUCGUCGUCUUUGAUCUGCUCCACUACAACUUCAGGGAAACAAGAUCUAAAAUUUCAACCUACUCCACUACAACUUUAUGGAGCUAGGUUAGUGACUUAAAUCUACUUCACUGCAACUUCAGGAAGUCAAGAUUCAUCAUCUUCGAUCUGCUCCACUGCAACUUUAGGGAAACAGGAUCUAAAAUUUCAACCUACUCCACUACAACUUUAGGAAGCUAAGUUAAUGACUUAAAUCUGCUUCACUGCAACUUCAGGAAGCCAAGAUUCGUCGUUUUUAAUUUGCUCCACUGCAACUUCAGGGAAACAAGAUCUAAAAUUUCAACCUACUCCACUACAACUUUAGGGAGCUAGGUUAGUGACUUAAAUCUGCUUCACUGCAACUUCAGAAAGUCAAGAUUCGUCGCCUUCGAUCUGCUCCACUGCAACUUCAGGGAAACAGGAUCUGUGGGAUUCACCAAUGUCACUACGCUGUCUUCCAAAGACAGAAUUUGUAGAAUUGGUUUCCUGUAUCAAAUAAUUUGGAUGCUAUUAUUGAGAUGAACCAUAUGUCCCUAACUAGAUGUGGUGUUUAUGUCAGAUAAUUAGAAUGGCAUGAUCGAAAUGAAUCAAAUACUCCUAAAUGAAUGAUUAUGAAUGUGGAAAUGUUAUGAGAGUGAUUCUUUUCUAAAUGCUUAAGGUAUCAUUGCUCAUAACUCGUCCGGGUUCCAUAUUGAUGUGCUAUCGCGUCCUCUUACUUAGCCGUCAUCUCUGAUAGAAAAUUUGAAGAAAUAGUCCUAAUUUGGAUUUCUCUUUUUCCAAUGUUUUUCAACUUUGAACCUGGUUAGUUCUGACUAGUGACCCUAUUUUAGGUCCUUGUACUAUUUAGAGACUUUUCCAGAGUAAUAUGCAUAACAUCUUGUGUGUAGAUAUUACAUGUUCAAAAAUCGUGAUUUCAAUAAAAAUUCUCGAAAGAGAUUAUCAUAAUGGAAAAAUGGCAUUUUAUUAAGCAAAAUUUUGAUGUGAAUACAUAGGAAUACGAAUCUGAUAAGGUGCAAAAAAUGAGAAAAAGGUGCCCUAGAUAUCGCAGCACGAGUUUCACUAUUCUAAUUUCUUAAAGGCUCCUUUGAACCAAAUGUGUAUUCAAGAGAUCCUGCGCAUUUUGUUGAUGCUCCAAGGUGUACUGUUCUUCUGUCUUGUUGAUUUUGGAAGGAAAAGACUACCAUAUGCCCCAUAUUCAGAAUUUGAGCUACCCGUUUUCGGGUUUUCAACUUAAAAGUCUCUUUGGUUCCAAAGUGCCCUUUGCGGGUUUUCACUCUGGCCCCUCUUCUUUCAGGUAAAAUACUUCUUGACCGAAUCCGAGUUUACAGGAUUGGGCAAGUUUCUACUGUCUAUCUCGGCUAGGAUCAAUGCUCCUCCAGAGAAAGCUUUCUUCACCACGUAAGGCCCUUCCCAAUUAGGCAUCCAUUUCCCUCGAAAAUCCUUCUGUAUGGGAAGGAUCUUUUUCAAAACCAGGUCUCCUUCGUGGAAUUCUCUAGGGCGAACCUUUUUAUCAUAAGCCCGCAUCAUUCGUUUUUGGUACAUCUGACUAUGACGAAUAGCUUUUAGCCUUUUUUCCUCAAUUAGGUUCAAUUGAUCAUAUCGAGAUUGGAUCCACUCAGCUUCUUCAAAUUUUAAAUCCGACAACACUCGAAGGAUGGGAUCUCGACUUUGAUCGGCAACACUGCCUCUAUUCCGUAGACCAAAGAGAAAGGGGUUGCCCCGGUUGAGGUUCUGACCGACGUUCGAUAAGCAAAGAGGGCAAAUGGUAAUUUCUCAUGUCAGUUUUUGUAAGUUUUGGUCAUCUUCCCCAUAAUUUUUUUAAUAUUUUUAUUGGCCGCUUCUACUGCCCCAUUCAUCUUCGGGCGAUUGGUGACGAGUUGUGAUGUCUGAUCUUGAAUUGACUGCAGACUUCCGCUAUUGUACUAUUGUUCAAGUUUAAUGCAUUGUCAGAAAUGAUCCUCUCCGGCAUUCCAUAUCGACAUAUAAUCUCCUAUUUCAGAAACUUGCUCACUGCCGACUUGGUCACACUAGCAUAUGAAGCGGCUUCUACCCACUUGGUGAAGUAGUCGAUAACCACGAAGAUGAACCGAUGCCCAUUGGAAGCUUUCAGCGAUAUUGGUCCAAUCACAUCCAUGCCUCACAUAGAGAAUGGCCAUGGAGAAACCAUGACAUGCAGUGGUGAAGGAGGCACAUGAAUUUUGUCUCUGUAGAUUUGGCACUUAUGACAUCUCUUAGCGUAAUUGACAUAGUCUCCUUCCAUGGUGGACCAAUAGUACCCGAAUCUCAUAAUUUGCCUGGCCAUUGUAAAGCCAUUAGCAUGUGUCCCAUAGACGCCUUCAUGGACUUCUUCCAAGAUUUUCCUAGCCUUUACAGCGUCUACACAUCUUAGUAGCACUUGAUCCUUUCUUCUUUUGUACAGGAUAUCCCCAUCUAGGACAUAGUCGAUGGCCAAUCUUCUUAGUGUUCUUUUGUCAUUCUCGCUUGCCUGGUCCGGGUAUUCACGAUUCUUCACAUAUUGCAAUAUAUCGUGAUACCAAGGGUGAUCAUCUUUCUCUUCGUCUUCUUCAAUAUUGUAACAGUGGGCCGAAACUUUAUAAAUGCUCAUCCGGAUGGGUUUGACAUCUUCUUGUUUGUUCACCUUGAUCAUGGAGACUAAGGUAGCCAAAGCAUCAGCCAUCUGAUUUUCGUCUCGUAGAAAGUAGUGGAAGGCAAUGUCAUCAAACUCUUUAAUCAAUUCAAGGACCCGCUUCUGAUAAUCAAUUAACUUGGGGUCUCUGGUCUCCCAUUCUCCCUUGAGUUGAUAAAUCACUAGCGCAGAAUCCCCAUACACCUCUAGCACUUUAAUCUUCUAUGGCUAUGCGGAUACCCAUGAUGCACGCUUUGUAUUCCGCCAUUUUGUUUGUACAAUCAAAACCCAAUUUACUAGUGAAUGGAUAAUAAUCUCCGUUUGGGGAUACCAAGACGGCCCCGAUUCCAUUGUCCACAGCAUUUGAUGCCCCAUCGAAGCUCAAUUUCCAAGGAAGUUCUUCCAGAGCACUUUCUUCAGUGGUAGCAACACACAUUAGGUCUUCAUUCGGGAAGUCGAAGUUCAAAGGCUCGUAGUCUUCCAAAGCUCUACUGUCUAGAAAGUCUGCUAUUGUACUUCCUUUUACUGCUUUCUAGUUUACAUAGACUAUGUCGAAUUCAGAAAGCAGAAUUUGCCAUCGGGCCAUCCUUCCAUUCAAGGCUGUUGACUCCAUCAUGUACUUUAAAGGGUCCAACUUCGAUAUGAGCCAAGUGGUGUGAUACAACAUAUACUGCCUCAGUCUUCGGGUUGUCCAAAUUAGGGCACAACACAACUUCUCUAUCGGCAGAUACCUUGCCUCACAUUCCGUAAACUUUUUACUAAGAUAGUAAAUGGCUUUCUCUUUCCUUUCUGACUCAUCAUGCUGACCCAAUACACAUCCCAUGGAGUUUUCGAAUACUGCCAAAUACAGUAUCAACGGCUUAUCGGGGUUAGGUGGCAUCAACACCGGGGUGUUGGAUAAGUACUGUUUUACCUUGUCAAAAGCCCUUUGGCAUUCUUCAUGCCAUUCACCUGGGUUAUGUUUCUUGAGGAGGCGAAAGACAAGGUCACAUUUCUCGGUCAGUUGUGAAAUGAACCGAGCAAUGUAAUUUAAUCUUCCUAGAAAGCCUCGAACUUCUUUUUGAGUGCGCGGUGGGGAUAAAUCUUGUAUGGCUUUAACUUUGUCUAGAUCGAUCUCAGUCCAUUUCUCACUAACCACGAAUCCGAGCAACUUUCCAGACUUAGCUCCGGAGGUACAUUUGGCUGGGUUGAGUUUUAGCUGGAACUUCUUCAACCUCAAGAACAAUUUCCUCAAGACUUGUAUGUGCUCCUUCUCUGUUCGAGACUUUGCAAUCAUGUCAUCGACAUAAACCUCGAUUUCUUUAUGCAUCAUGUCAUGAAAAAGGGUUACCAUGGCUCUUUGAUAAGUUGCCCCCGCAUUCUUCAGUCCAAACGGUAUCACCUUGUAGCAGAACGUGCCCCACAUGGUUACAAAUGUGGUUUUCUCCAUAUCUUUAGAAUGCAUCUUGAUCUGGUUGUAUCCUAAAAAAUCGUCCAUGAAUGAAAACAGUGAAUGUCCCGCCGUGUUGUCCACUAGGGUGUCGAUAUGAGGUAGUGGGAAAUUUUCUUUUGGGCUGGCUUUAUUCAAAUCUCUGUAGUCCACACACAUUCGCAUUUUUCCAUCUUUCUUAGGGACAGGGACGAUGUUGGCUACCCAAUCUGAGUAUUUUACCACCUUUAAAAAUCCAGCGUCAAACUACUUUCGAACCUCUUCCUUUAUUUUUAGCAAGACAUCGGGCCUCAUUCUUUGGAGUUUUUGCUGAACUGGCUUACACUCUUCUUUUAUGGGAAGUCGAUGCACCACGAUGUCAGUGUCCAACCCGGGCAUAUCUUGGUAUGACCACGCGAAGACAUCUUUGAAUUCUUGAAGUAAUUCAAUGAGGUCUCGCUUCAUUUCCGUAGUGAUACAUGUUUCGAUCUUCACCUCUUGUCCUUCUCCUAAGCUCACAAUUUCGAUUGAUUCUUUGUGAGGUAGAAUUUGUUUCUCGUCUUGUUCUACCAUCCUCAACAAAUCAGGAGAUAGGUUACAACCUUGGUCAUCUUCAAAAUCCUGAGAAUCAUCCAUACACACAUCUUGCUCGAAAGGAAAUUUUGAGUCGCUAGCAGUGUCACUCGUAUCAUUAAUAUCUGGGGACCUGUUAUGAGGACGAAGGCAGAUACAAAGAAUCAAAAGAAUUCGAAACAUUUAUUUGCGUGAUAUGAUUAUGAAUGACGAAUGAAAGAAUAUUUAGAAGAAUGUUUCAAGAAUAAAAGAAUUCGAAAGUAAUCAUUUGUAUGGUUAUGAAUGGAAUUGAAAGGACGAGAUAAUAUUUGCUCAAAAAUGAUAAUAACCGUGCAUUUUAUUGAAAUAUCGUUUUUAAACAUCGGCCUAUUUUACAAAAGAUUCUUAUUACUCCUAGGCCUAGAGUAAUAAGUGUGUUUUGGACAUUACUCUGAAUUCGUUCUAAAAACUACAAGAAUCUCUUCCGUAGUCCAGUUGUCCAGAACACUUCCAGGUGUGUAGGGGCAAAUGCCCGACAAAUUUUCUCUUCCAGUCUCCUCUUCGUACAUGACGUUGAUGUCCAAACUUUCUAGGCUUUCUUCUAUAGCUCCCGUCAUUGGUGUGUCUCUCUCGGGAUGAAUGAUUCCUCCAGACACAAAUGUUUUUGAUAUGUGGGGGAAUGUUAUUGGUUCCCACUUGAUUUCCUCCCUCGUUAAUCGAGCUCUCUUUCUUUCUUGCUUCUUUUCCAGCUCCCUUCUCUUUGUUUCACAUCCGGCUUAAAUCCUAAGCCGAAGCGGUCUCUCUUUUCUUUCAGCAUUGGCGUUUCGAUCCUUCCUUGUAGAUGUCUCCCAAGCCCCCUUCCGGGUAUGGCCCUUUUUCCAAUCGUCAACUGGAGGCUCAUCCUCAUGGUUUUGGACAAUUUCGGUACCAGAAUUUUGCUUCCCUCAACGAUGAACGUCGCGUUAACAAAUUCCAAAGAUCGAAAUGAGCAUUUGAUUGCUUCGUCAUCUGUCUCCAAAUAGGGUGCAUUAUUGCUCACAGUUGCAAUAAUAUCUUCUUUAGCCUUAAUCAUUAUCAACCUCCCCUCCGACACCAACUUCAAUUUUUGAUGUAACGAGGAAGGCACUGCCCCAGCUGAAUGUAUCCAGGGCCUCCCCAACAAGAAAUUGUAUGAGGGCUUGAUAUCCAUCACGAGAAAAUCCACCUCAUAUGUGUUUGGCCCAAUCUGGAGAGGUACCUCGAUUCUGCCCAUCACCUUUCUUUCCGUGCCAUCGAAUUCCUUCACGAUGUUCUGGCACUCCUUCAUGUGAGAGCUGUCUAUAGGUAAUCUGUUCAGCGUGGUCAAUGGCAGGACGUUCAAAGUUGAUCCAUUGUCAAUCAGUACGCCUGGCAGCGUGUACCCUUUACAACGUGUGGUGAUAUGCAGAGCUUUAGUCGACCCCAUGCCCCUGGGUGGUAUCUCGUCAUCAUUAAAGAAGAUAUAAUUGUCGGCACUUAUGUUGCUCACCAACCGGUCCAGCAUGUUAACAGAGAUAUCAUUGGCAACAUAUGUCUCGUUUAAGACCUUUAUUAGUGUGCUACGAUGAACUUCCGAGCUUAGAAGCAAGGCCAGUACUGAAAUGCGGGCUGGUUGUUUACGUAGCUGUUCCACCAUACUGUAUUCGCUAUGCUUUAGGAAUUUUAAAAACUUCUUGGCCUGCUCUUCGUUAACUGGUUCAUUAAUAAGUUUGGUUGCUUUUCCCUUCAUUUCCUCGACCACCUGGGCUUUUCCUUUUGUGGGUUGUUCCUCCUUAUUCACCGUAUCGUAACGCCUUCCGCUAUGUGUAUAGGAGCCUCUGUCUUGAUCCCCUCUUGAAGCACCAACCGGGCUCUCUUUUCCCGGCAUCGUCACACUGCAAUCAUAAUUCCAUGGGACCUUUUUGCUAUCUUUGUAAGGGAAGACUGCAGGUCUUUGGAUUAUGACCCUCGGUGGCAUUUGUACUCCAGCUUCAUUAUUUUUGGGUUUCGAAAUGAUCACCACAGGAUAAUUAGGUGUUUGAUUUUUCGCCUUUGAUUCUCCCUCGGAUGCGCAUACAUUUCCCUUUGUGGGGCUUUUAGCUUCUUCAUAGAAUUCCAUUUCUUUGUUAUCUAUCAUGUUCUGCAUGAGGGCCCUGAAUUCCACACAUUCUUUGAUUUCAUGCCCCACCUCAUCAUGGAACUCACAGUAGUUUCUCUCUUCUUCGGGUUCUUCCCUUGGAUCCAAUGCUAUCAAUCCUCUCUUGGCCAUCUCCUUUCAUACCCGCCUCAACGGGGUCCUGACUUCUGCCACCUCAUACUUGGUCUUCUUGUUCAAGCCUUCACUUAUCCCAUUCACUCCUUGGUCGGUAUGAUUGGGGAGUGGGUUUCCUGCUACAUUGGGCGUGGCUGGGUCAUCAAAUCUCAUGAUUCCCACCUUAAUGAGUCUUUCGACCACUUUCUUGAAUGCAGUGCAAUUUUUCAUUGAGUGCCCGGUAAUUCCUGCGUGGUAUUCACAUUGGGCGUUUGUGUCAUACCAUUUGGGAUACGGGGGCUGCAGUGGCUCCAGGUAGAAAGAGGAUACCACGUGAGCGUUGAACAGGUUCUGGUACAACUCCCUAUACGUCAUGGGUAUAGGGGUGUAUUGUGGCCUUUCUGUGUUCUUCCUCGCAUUGGAUUCUUGUCUUACAGAGCUUUGUUGAUUGGUUGUUCUGGGUUGAUUUACAGUAAUUGACUUGGGCUGACCCUUGUUGAAUGUGCUCGUGUUGUUCACUUCAUUGUCUUUUUUCCUCGAGGCUAACUUCCUAGCACUCUCUCCUGAUUCUAUCUUGCCGCUCCUUACAGCAUUUUCGAUCAUUUCUCCCGUCAUCACUAUGUCGGAGAAGCUCUUGGUGGCGCUUCCUAACAUAUGCGUGAUAAAAGGGGCUUUCAAGGUGUUAAAAAAGAGCAUUCUCGUCUCCUUUUCUAGAAGCGGCGGCUAAACUUGUAUGGCCACUUCUCUCUACCUUUGUGCGUACUGUCUGAAGCUUUCAUUUGACUUCUUCUCCAUGUUCUGGAGAGUGAUUCUAUCAGGGGUCAUGUCCGUCACAUGACUGUAUUGCUUCAUAAAGGCCUGGGCCAGGUCCUUCCACGAGUUAAUCUUAGGGCGGCUUAAUUGGUUGUACCACCUAGACGCCGCCCCGACCAGACUAUCUUGAAAGCAGUGAAUUAAUAGCUGGUCAUUGUUAACAUAUCCCGUCAUUCGCCUACAGAACAUAGUGAUAUGGGCUUCAGGGCAGCUCGUUCCAUUGUAUUUUUCGAAUUCGGGAAUUUUGAAUUUGGGGGGAAGGACUAAAUCUGGGACCAAACUCAGGUCAUUGGCAUCGAUCCCUUGACGAUGGUCCGCGCUCUCCAUGGCUUUGAAUUUCUCCUCAAGCCAUCUACACCGUUCUUCCAAUUGUUUUUGUGAAUCCAUCCUCUCCUUUUCUUCUUCAGCAAUUUCAUCCAAGUCGGGAACUAGUGGAUAGUUCGGGUUAUUGACAAAGUUAGAGCCUGAAUCGGUUUGGAGGUUCAUCGGUAUUGAAGCUCCAGCCUGAACCGGCUGGGACAUAAUCAUGACAGAUGGUUUCGGUAGGUUAAUCUCAGGCUUCAUCGGUACAUGUGUCGGAGUAAAGCCAGAGGGUAUUGAGGAUCUUCGUUAGUUUCUUCAAUUUUGUCCAUGGGGCUCUUUCCCUUAUCUGUUCCUCCCAAUAGCAAUUGGGAUAACUGACUCAUCAUUUCCCUCUGGGACUCCAUCAUUUGCUCUUUCAUCUCUCGCUGAAUCUUGGCUAGCUGCUCUUGCAUCUGAGACUGCAUUUGUUCUUGCAUGUCUUUUUGCAUCUGCUCCAAUUUCUCGAGUCUCUUAUCCAUUGAUUUUUUCCUUGUAUCGUAGGGGUGUGUGGUUGGUUGGUUUUCGUUGGUUUCCAGGUUACUGAAAUAAUUUUUAGUUAAUUAAUUAGAAAACUCUUAUAGCCUUUAAUGCAUAAUGAUAUGAUGUAAUGCAAAUGCAUGAAUGCAAAGGAGGUAUCAAUUUUGAUUCAAUUGCCCUUAGAAAAUUUUACUUGAAAAUAAAAUCUUUUACAUAAAGUCGAGUUACAAAUAAAAUUUUGCUCUAACACUUAGAGUCCUAAUUUUUCUAAGCAACGAGGCCAGCUCUUGUCCGCGCUCCGACUCCAACUCAUAUUUUACGCUUAGUGUGUCUGCCUGAACCGCUAAAGUUUGCAAGUAGUCCGCUACCUCCUGAAUCUGAGUUAUGGCUUCCCCCAUAAGGUAAUCUCUGUUUCUGACUUGGUCUUGCGCAUGGUAAAGCUGCUCUUUCCAACGAUCCUCGUUUGCUUCGAAAAAUUGGAUCCGCAUCUCGCAGUUUUGCAGUGACACCUCUAAUCUUUUAUUUGUCCUUUCAUUUCUUCUAUCUUGCUCAAGCUUGCCCUCAAUUCCAUCGCGGUGUUGCGGUUUCGGUAUUGGGAAAAUUUGGCCCACUACAUACGUAACAUCAGUAAUUACAUCAUUGUGGAUUUCAUUUGGAUAAUCCUUCUCAAAAAACCACGUCAUUUUCUCUCUACACAUUUUUGUACAUAUAAAAUCUGCUACUUUAUUACAAGCCCUAGUAGUCCAAAUUAAAUGGGCAAAAUUGAAGCUCUCGAAAGCAGCAGUGCAAUUUUUGAUGCACGCGCCAAGAACAGUGAUAUCCGUACCAAUAUUCCUCAAUUUGUUGACCAAAGCCGCAUUAUCCGUUUCAAAUAUCACAUCUUCCUUAAUAUUCAGCUUGGUCGCCACCUGGAUGCUCUUUUCGAACGCCACAGAUUCAGCUUCAAGCACUGACAAUCGUGUUUCAAUAAAGCCCCCACCGCCCAAUAUGAAACCAUCAUCAUCCCUCACAAUCGCCCCGUACCCCACACUAUUUGUCCCCACAGUUGCGUCGAAGUUGACUUUAACAAAUCCCUUCGGAGGUUUUUUCCAUUUCUUAGCCUCAAUAUUAGAUGAUAAUAGUGGCUCCUUUAACAGGUUACAAAUGCGAAAAUCUUCGAUCAGAGCUCUAGCCCUCUCCCAAAUGACCGUAGCCUCCUCUUCUUUUCCCCUGAAAAUGAAAUUAUUUCUAUUGUUGCAGCAAUUCCAUAGUAAAACCAUAAGGUCGGCCAUAGCUUUCUUGUCGAGAACCCUCAUCAUAUCCUCAAGCCAAUUAAUACAUUAGUCGUAAUUCUUUGAAACCAUUCGCUCGGACCACCCUGCCAGCGAAAGGACCUUACGUGAUGUUGGGCAAUCCUUCAGCGCAUGAAGAAGAGUUUCAGCUUCAGCUCCGCACCUUUGGCAUCCUUUAGCAAAGCCAUUUCUAAUAGAGGCAAUUUUGACAUUUGUCGAGAGAAUAUCGAGCCCCACCCGCCAGGAGAAAACCCGGAUUUUCGGCAAUGUAUCAAGUUUCCAGAGAGCUUUCCAAACUAUUCUAUGAGGUCCGUACCCCAUUUCUUUCAAGAGUAGCCAUGAGUAAGCUGACUUCGUAGUGAAACACCUAUGCGGGUUAUGAAACCAAAUCAUCUUAUCUCCUUGUUCCUCAUCUUCGAUAGGCACGUUGCAAAUCUUGUCCCCCCAAUCUUGCCCAUAUCCCUUGUAAACUUUCUCCACAUUCUAACUCUUCCCAUCUGUAAGCCAGAGGUCUUUCACACUCAUUUCAUUUGGGUUGAGACAUUCCUCUCUAAUGGCAUCCUCAUUGAGACCCUCCAUUCCCCAGUUAUCAGUCCGGAUAUUGAUCAUAUCGCCAUUUCCAACCUGCCACCCAAAGCCGUCUUUGAGAGCUUCCGCCACUGCCGCAAUGCUUGACCAGGUAAAAGAGCUUUGUCCACUUUUUUGGCUUUAAAAAUAUUGCAGUCGGGAAAAUAUUUCGAAGACAACACUUUAAAACAUAAAGAAUCUUUAUUGUUUAUAAGCCUCCAUACUUGACGCCCCAAAAGAGCCAAGUUGAACAAUCUAACAUCUCUAAUUCCAAGCCCUCCCAUGCCCUUCGGUUUCCACAAGGUCUUCCAAGGUAGUAUUUUCCAGAAUCUGCCUUUAUCUUUUCCAGCCCACCACGUUUUGCUUAGUUUAGCUUGGAUAUCCUCGAUCACUCCUUUGGGAGCUAAGAAAAUCAACAGAGCAUAUGUUGGUAUAGAUUGAAGGACGACUUUAAUGAAAACUUCUUUGCCACCAAAGGAGAGCAGCCUCUUUGUCCAACUGGUGAUCCUGCAAGACAACCUGUUAUUAAUAUAUUUAAAAGCCUCUUUUUUCUUCUUACCUAUCGGGAUGGGGAGACCAAGGUAGCUGUUCAAAUUUUCCACCACCGUCAUGCUUAACAGAUCACUAAAAUUAUUUCUAACAUCCCUAGGAGUGUUGGGACUAAAGAGAAUCAUUGAUUUUUCACAAUUUAUCUCUUGUCCGGAAAUGUUAGAAAAAGAUUUAAGCAAAUGGACCAACAUUUCAACAUCACUCUUUUUAUUUCUCACGAAGAGAAGCGAAUCGUCAGCGAAGAAUAAAUGAUUUAUCCUCAGACCAUUUAUACUGGCCCGGAUGCCACUUAAAAAAUUAUUAUCCUGAGCUUGGAUUAGCAUUCUCGAGAACGCUUCCAUGCAGAACAAAAACAAAUAGGGAGAGAGGGGGUCCCCUUGAAGAAGACCCAUCUCGGGAAUAAUAAUAUCGGAUAAAAUAUUAUUGCAUUUUACCAUAUAUUUAACCGAACGAACGGAUUUCAUAAUUUUUUCAAUCCACUUCAUGUCAAAUCCCAUCUUUUGCAUAAUUGUUUCGAUGAAAUCCCACUCCACGCGGUCGUACGCUUUGCUCAUGUCGAGCUUAACCAUGAACCCUUUGUUAGGGCCAUUUUUGGAGCUUUGAAGAUAGUGAAGGAGCUCGUGUGCAAUCAGAAUAUUGUCGUGAAUCAUCCUUCCCAGCAUGAAAGCGCUUUGGUUUUGGCUGAUACAGCUAGUCAAAACAAUUUUUAACCGAUUGGCAUAGACCUUUGCGAUGAUCUUAUAGACAAACCUGCAUAAACUUAUAGGGCGAAAAUUAGUCUACUCACAAGGGUCUCUAAUUUUAGGAAUUAAAAUGAUCACAGUCUCAUUAAGGUUAGAAACAUUUUUAUCCCCAUUAAGGACAUCUAGACAGAAAUUAAUGGUGUAGCGUCCCACGAUCUCCCAAUGCUGUUUGAAGAAAUUUCCCGAGAGACCGUCAAUGCCAGGAGAUUUAUUCGGAUCCAUCUGCUUGAUGGCCUGAAGGACCUUAUGCUCCGUAUAGUCCCUCGUGAGCCACUUAUUUAUCUCCCUAGUCACACAUUCCUGAAUAUACCCCACCUCUUGUAUAUCAACCCUUUGACCGUUAGACCUAAACAAGCCUAAAAAGUAGUUUUUCGCCACCUGACUUAUUUCCUUACUACUUGUCACCCAGUUACCAUCCAUGUCUUUAAGCUUCUCAAUAAAGUUCUUCUUUAGCUGUCCAGUAGCUUUCGAAUGGAAGUAUCUAGUGUUCCGAUCACCCUCCCUAAGCCAUUUUGAUCGUGACCUUUGUGCCCAGUAACUUUCUUCCCUAGCAUAGAGAAAAUCAAGCCUUUUACGAAAUACUUGUAAAUUCUUCACAUUGUCCCCUCUGCUAUUAGAAUCAAUAAUCCGGUCAAUAUUUUUCUCCAGUCUUCGAAUUUCGCUCUUCAUUUUACCAUAUUUCUUGCGUUGCCAAUAGCCAAGCACCGACCUAACCCUUUCAAUCUUUUCCCCAUAAUCUAUAUCAACCCUGUUCUAUGCACUCCCGAUUAUCUUUUUUUCUUCCCUGUCACCAGCCCAACACAAAUCAAAUUUGAAGCUCAGCCUAUGGUCAUUAGGGUGAUCUUUGGGUCGACGUCCCCAUAAAUCCAGGAGAAUCACGUCAUGAUCGGACUGGGAUUGCCUCACCACUUUAGUAGCUAUAAAGGGGAAGUUUUCAACCAAGGACACUGAGCUAAGGAAUCUAUCAAUCCUUUCUUUAACCAGACCGCCCCCACUCCUAUUGUUAACCCAAGUAAACCAUCCACUGUCGGGUUUGAUAUCCACUAACGCCAAGUCAUCCGUGAUAGCUUUAAAGUCAUUCAUUUCCACCCUCACCCCCCGACAGCCACCCUCUUUCUCAGCAUCAUUCAAAAUUGUGUUAAAAUCCCCCCUACAACCCAAUCUUCUCUAACCGAAUCCCCUACACGAUGCAAUAUAUCCCAUGAGCUGUUUCUAAGGCUCGGAUUAGCAUGCCCUUAGAAACCCGUAACUCUCAUAUUCUUGUUGUUCUCCAAAUUAACAAUAGAGUCAAUAUGGUGUUUGGAGUAGCUCUGAAUGGAGACAUUUGUCCCUUCCUUCCACAUCAGCGCAAGGCCCCACACCGACACUCAGAAUUCACAGUUAGGCCAUUUUGCAACCUGUAUUUAUUUUGAACCCUACGAAAGUCAUUCCCAUUCAUUUUUGUUUCGCUAAGGAAAAUAAUAUCAGGGUUAUGUGCACCGAUUAGUUGCUUGAGCUCCCUAAUUUUUGCGGGGUUUCCCAUUCCACGACUAUUCCAGCACAUGAACUUCAUUUUGAAAACACACCACCCACGAAACAAAUCUUUUCAGACGCUCAACUCGCCAUUGUAGUGCUUGAAUCUUUUUCCUUCUUGACUCCCGUAAAUCAUCAAAGCAGACUGCAAUAUAUGGGGAGAACACAAACCGCAUCAACGGGAAUCGGACCACUUUCCAGAGCCAAAAUUCUGCAAGAAGAACACAACCAAGAAGAAAACACGAACACAGUGGCACUCCAAAAAGAAAACUAUACGAUCACCUAGACUUUUCCUAAGUCUCAUUCCCCAUAAAAGACCCUAGCCCCGAAUCAAGAAAAAUCACGCAAACCAUUCGAAAACAAGAAACAGAUACGACUUCAUAAAGAAACAGACAAAACCUAGAAAACCUAAUUGAAACAAGACAGAAAAACUAAAGAAAAAUAAGAAAAUCAGAAGACCAAAAUUAAAACUCAUAAAAAAACAUGCUAAGAAAACCUAGAGAAAAAAACACCAGAAACCCUAUGAGAAAAUUUGUUGAAAAGUCAAAAAAUAAUCUAAACUACCAUUGAUAGGUUGCAUGCAGUACGUAGAAAAACCAUGCAGGAGACGUGCAAGAUCCAUGCAACCAAAAGAAAUAUAAAGAAAAAACAACAAAAUGAUAAAGAAGACAAAAGAAAACGACUACACCUUGACAAAUCCGAUGAAUCUAUCCCAUCAAAACAGAGUCAGACUUUGCAAAAAACAAGAUCGUGACCAACCACUAGUAUAUUGCCCGUACUCCUCGAAAAACCCACCACCGCUAAAUCCAAAAAGAAUCACGAAACCCUUAUAUAACCCAGCAACGAACAUACAUGCUUGAAAAAACACGAAAACUCGGCCAGUGAAAGAAGAGUUUGAUCAUGCAACACGUAAGAAAACAUCCAAUCACUCUCGGGAGGCAAGCCAUCGCUUCAAACCCCAGCCCCACUGCUAAACGGGACACCACUCAAUUCCCCAACACUGCCAUAUAAUUCAAAAGAAAAAUAGGCAGACACACGAAAAGAAAAACAAGAACAGAAAUCGCUUAAAUCUUGGAGAAAAAUCACAAAACACGCACACUACUACCAGGCAACGCUACCAGGCGACGCUACCAGGCGAGGCUACCAGGCAACAUUCGUAUGUCUGAAACGGGGACACUUUUCUUUAGCCCGCACAUCCGAGGCACCAGGGUGCCCCUACUGCCCGAGGCACCCGCACAUCCAACGUUCUAGGUUACCGAUGGUGUCCUAGGCUCCCGCACAUCCAAGCACCAAGGUGCCAAUGCUGCUCGAGGCUCCCGCACAUCCGAGGCACCAAAGUGCCGAUGGUGCCCGAGGCUCCCGCACGACCAAAGGCCUACGUUGCCGAUGGUGUCCGAGGUGCCUGCACAUCCAAGCACCAAGGUGUCGAUGGUGCCCGAGGCUCUCGCACAAUCAAGGCCUAGGUUACCGAUAGUGCCCGAGGCUCCCGCACGACCAGGGGCCUAGGUUGCCGAUGGUGUCCGAGGCUUUCGUACAACCAGGGGCCUUGGUUGCCGAUGGUGUCCGAGGCUCCUGCACAUCCAAGCACCAAGGUGCCGAUGGUCCUGAGGCUCUCGCACGACCAAGGGCCUAGGUUGCCGAUGGUGCCCGAGGCUCCCGCACGACCAGGGGCCUAGGUUACCGAUAGUGCCCGAGGCUCUCGCACUACUAGGGGCCUAGGUUACCGAUGGUGCCCGAGGCUCCCGCACGACCAAGGGCCUAGGUGCCUAUGGUACCCGAGGCCCUCGCACGACCAAGGGCCUAGGUUGCCGAUGGUGCCCGAGUCUCCCGUACGACUAGGGGCCUAAGUUACCGAUGGUGCCCGAGGCUCCCUCACGACCAAGGGCCUAGGUUGCCGAUGGUGUCCGAGGCUCUCGCACGACCAAGGGCCUAGGUGUCGAUGGUGGCCGAGGCUCCCGCACGACCAAUGGCCUAGGUGCCGAUGGUCCCGAGGUUCUUGCACGACCAAGGGCCUAGGUUGUCGAUAGUUCCCGAGGAUCCAGCAUGACCAGAGGCCUAGGUUGCCGAUGGUGCCCGAGGCUCCCGCAUAUCCAAGCACCAAGGUGCCAAUGGUGCCCCAGGCUCCCGCACGACCAAGGGCCUAGGUGCCGAUGGUGCCCGAGGCUCUCGCACGACCAAGGGCCUAGGUUGCUGAUGGUACCGAGGCUCUCGCACGACCAGGGGCCUAGGUUGCCGAUAGCGCCGAGGCUCUUGCACAACCAGGGGCCUAGGUUACCGAUGGUGCCCGAGGCUCUCACAUGACCAAGGGCCUAGGUUGCCGAUUGUGUUCGAGGCUCCCGCAUGACCAAGGGCCUAGCUGCCUAUGGUGCCCGAGGCUCUCGCACGACCAAGGGCCUAGGUUGCCGAUGGUGCCCGAGGCUUUCGCACGACCAGGGGCUUAGGUUGCCGAUGGUGCCCGAGGCUCCCGCACGACUAGGGGCCUAGGUUGCGGAUGGUGUCCGAGGCUCCCUCACGACCAAGGGCCUAGUUGUCGAUGGUGUCCGAGGCUCCUUCACGACCAAAGGCCUAGGUGCCGAUGGUGGCUGAGGCUCCCACACGACCAAGGACCUAGGUGCCGAUGGUCCUGAGGCUCUCGCACGACCAAGAGCCUAGGUUGCUGAUGGUGCCUGAGGAUCUCGUACGACCAGGGGCCUAGGUUGCCGAUGGUGCCCGAGGAUCCCGCACGACUAGGGGCCUAGGUUGCCGAUGGUGCCCGAGGAUCCCGCACGACCAGGGGCCUAGGUUGCCGAUGCUGCCCGAGGCUCCCACACAUUCAAGUACCAGGUGCCGAUAGUGCCCGAGGCUCCCACACGACUAAGGGCCUACGUGCCAAUGGUGCCCGAGGCUUCCGCACGACCAAGGGCCUAGGUUGCUGAUGGUACCGAGGCUCUCGCACGAUCAGGGGCCUAGGUUACCGAUGGUGCCGAGGCUCCCGCAUGGCCAGGGGCCUAGGUUGUCGAUGGUGCCCGAGGCUCCCGUAAGACUAGGGGCCUAGGUUGCCGAUGGUGCCCGAGGCUCCCGCACGACCAGGGGCCUAGGUUGCUGAUGGUGCCCGAGGCUCCUGCACGACCAGGGGCCUAGGUUACCGAUGGCGCCCGAGGCUCCCGCACAUCCAAGCACCAAGGUGCCGAUGGUGCCGGAGGUUCCCGCACGACCAAGAGACUAGGUGCCGAUGGCGCCUGAGGCUCCCGCACGACCAAUGGCCUAGGUUUCCGAUGGUCCUGAGGCUCUCGCACGACCAGGGGCCUAGGUUGCCGAUGGUGCCCGAGGCUCCCGCACGACUAGGGUCUUAGGCUGCCGAUGGUGCCCGAGGCUCCCGCACGACCAGGGGCCUAGGUUGCCGAUGGUGCUUGAGGCUCCCGCACGACCAGGGGCCUAGGUUGCCAAUGCCGCCGAGGCUCUCGCACAUCCAAGCACCAAGGUGCCAAUGGUCCCCGAGGCUUCCGCACAUCCAAGCACCAAGGUGCCAAUGGUCCCCGAGGCUCCUGCACAUCCAAGCACCAAGGUGUCGAUGCUGCUCGUACCAGUGGCCUAGUUUGCCGGUGGUGUCCAAAUCUCCCGCACAUUCGAGGCACCAAGCUGCCGGUGGUGUCCGAAGCUCUCGCACAUCUGAGGCACCAAGUUACCGAUACUGCUCGAGGCUCCCGCACAUCCGAGGCACCAAGUUACCGGUACUGCUCGAGGCUCCCGCACAUCUGAGCACCAAGGUACCGAUGCUGCUCGAGGCUUUCGCACCAUCGACGUCCUAGGUUGCCGAUGGAAUCCAAGGCUCCAGCACGUCCAAGCAACAAUGUGCCGAUGCUCCCGCACCAUCGAUGUCCUAGGUUACCAAGGGUGCCUGAUGCUCCUAGACGACCAAGGGCCCAAGGUGCCGGAGGCUCUUGUACCAAAAGGGGAGGGACCAGGAUGAUUCAAAAGGGGAGGGACUUGGGAAAGGGACCAGGACGACUUGUAGCAUCGUUUGUGAUAUUUCGGGAUGGCUCGCCGGAGCACCGCCUGGUGGCUCGCCGGAGCACCGCCGGGUGGCUCGCCAGAGCACCGCCGGAAUGGAUCGCCGGUACACCGCUGGGAACCUAACCCGCAAUGGGAGGGCACCGAUGUCUGGGCAUGAAUGGGCAUGGGCAGUGCCUUGGAGAGCCCCUGUUAGCCUCAAUAUCACCUCCCCCCUAAAGAGCUAAAAAAAACUUGGUCAAUGUGCUACCAGGCGACAUUCAUGUGUUUAAAACAGGGACACUUUAUGGUGCCGACGCUUCUGCACCAACGGGGGCCCAAAAUUAGCUUUGGUGCUCGACCCUUCCGCACAUCCGAUGCACCAAGGUGCAGAUGCUACCCGAUGCUCCGACACAUCAAAGAGGCAGGUGGUGCCCGAUGGCCCCGCACCACGGGGUGGCACACGUUGCCGAUAGUGUACGAGGCUACCGCACGACCGGGGGCCAAAGGUGCCGGAGGCUCUUGUUGCAAAAGGGGAGGGACAGGGAUGAUUUAUUCAUUGUUGGGUACCGGACAUACAACAGUAUCUGAAUCCUACCUUUGGGACGAUUCAUUCAUUAUUGGGUACCGAACAUGUAACGGUAUCCGAAUUCUACCUUUUGGGAUUGGGGAGGGACUCGUUGCACCGUUUUGUAUAUCCCAGGAUGGCUCGUCGGAUCAUCACCGGGAUGGAUCAUUGGAGCACCAUCGAAAACCUAACCGGUGGUGGGGGCACCGACGUCCGGGCAUGCGAUGGGCAUGGGCAGUGCCCUGGAUAACCCCUGGCUUCUCAAUAUCACUUCCCCCCUAAAGAGCUAAAAAAACUUGGUCAAUGUGCUACCAGUCGACAUUCAUAUGUCUGAAACAGGGACAGGUUUCAGAUGUCUGAAACAGGGAAACUUUUUUCAGCCCAACGCUCCCGCAUGUAAUACCCCGAAAAUUUUUACAGUAAAAUAUUAUCCGUGAUAUAGUAAAAUAAGGAAAUAAAGUGACAAAAAGGGAAUUUUUGAGUUAUGUCAAUAGUGAGAAGUAUAUUAUGAUAUAUUAAUUCAAGAAAGGACUAAAUUGCAAAGAUGAGAAAAGUCUUGUUGCACAAGAGUAAAUACUCAAAAUUUAAGGGGUUGAAGUGUAAAUAUAAAAAAGUUGAAGGACUAAUGGUGCAAAUAUUUUAAGGGUGGAAUGAUCUAGAAACCAAGAAAAACUGAUGAAUUAGGACCAAAUUGAAUAGGUAAAAAAAUUAUGAGGGACUAAAUCGUAAUUUUACCAAAUUAAGUGAUGACUGAAGGAUGGAAUUCUAAAAGAUCAUGAAGGGAAAAAUGGUCAAUUAGUAAGAGAGAGAAUUCUAGAAUGUAAUGAUUAUGUUGAUGAUAUUUUAAAUUAAUUAAUUAGAUAAAUAUUAUUUUAUUAAUAUUUUAUGAGAUGUUUAUUAUUAUAUUAUUAUUUAUUUAGUAUAAAAGGAAGGAAAGAUGAAGAAAAAUUAUCAACACAUUUCCUUUCCCAUGCAAACUAACGUAAGAUAAGAAGAAGAAAAGAAGUUUGCUUUCUUUACAAUUUAGUCCUUCCACCAAAAAUUCAUUAUUUUCACCUAAAAAUUGAAAGAAUUUCCAUAGCCUUCAAGAGAGAAAGAUAGCAAGGAGAUGAUGGGGAGCAAGAAUAUCAAGUUGGAUUCAAGAAAUCGAAGCUAGAGGAGAGAGAAAAAUCAAGUUAAUGAUUGAAGUCAAUAAGAAAAGGUAAGUACGUCAAGAUUUCAAUAUGUUUUAAAGUUUGUUAUUAUUGAUAAAGCAUGGAAAUAAUGUUAUAGUAGAGUUUUCUUUCAUAAGGUCCUAUGUUCUUGAUAUGUUAGUGAAAAAAAAUAAGAGAAAGUGAUGAGAAAUGGUGUAGAAAAAGAAAAUAAGGAUGUUAUAACAUGGUAAUUAAUAUCUUGUACUAAAACAGUUCUGGACAGCAGCAGUAGUCUAGCUUUGAAAAAUCAUAAAAAAUUGUAGAAAUCUAAUUAUAGGAUGAAUAAAAUUUUAAAUUAAAGCUUAUUAAGUUUAGUUUCUUAUAGAAGAAAUUAUGUAUGCAAUGGAAUUCUAAAUAAUGAGAUAUGAUGAAUUUUGUGAGACAAGGUCAGAAUGAUUUUCGGGUUCCCCUGUUUUGAAUUUAUAAAAUCAUAAAAAAUUGGAUAAAAACAAUUAGGGGCUUAAAUUUAUAUUUUUAUAAUUCUUAAUGAGUCUAUUUUCAAUAGAAACAAACAUGAACAUCAUUAGAAUUCUGUACAAGGAGAUAAUUAAUUUUUAGUGAAGAAGGGUCACAACUGUCAGACAGCAGAAUAGGGGUAACUUUAAAGAAUAAACUGUACUUAUUGACUAAACCAAAAAUUCUUAAAAUUUUAUGGUAAGAAUAUAUAUGAGUAUAGUUUUAGGAAAAAUUAGCGGAUCUUAAUUUGGAGUCCUAUAUCUCCAGAUAUAGAUAAUUUAGUGACUAUGACACAGAUGGACAGCUUGAAUAUUCAUAAAAGUAAAUAAUAAAAAUUAUAGAUAAUGUUACUUAUAAGUGUGCUACAUACAUCAAGGACGUGGAAUGGAGAGGAGGAGGAGGAAAACAUAUAUGAAUAUUCAUUAAGCAUGGCUAAUUUGCAUAUUUUAGGCUUAGGGACUAAAUUGAAUAAAAGUAAAACUUUAUGGGCAAUUUUGUAAAAAUGUCAAAAAUGACCAAAUUGCAUGAAAUGGAUUAUUUUAUUAUUUAAAUUACAAAAUUGAAUGAAAUUAUUAAUUUAGUUCAAGAUCGGGGGAAAAAAUAUUUUAGGGAUUAAAUUGAAAAGUGUUAAAAUUAUGGAAAAUUCUGAUAUUUUAUAGAAUUCAUGGAAUGUUAUCAAUAUAUAUGAGAAUAAUAGCUGGAAAUAAGGAUUAAACUGCAAGAAUUUUAUUUUCCUGAACCUAAGGAUGAAAUCGUCAUUAAUUAAAAGUUUAGGGGCAAAAUGGUAAUUUUGCUUAGAGCAUUAGUUAAAUGCAUUAGAAGAUGAAAUGAAUGAAAAUGAUGAUCAAAUUUAUUUAUAAAGAUCCGGACGACUCAAAUAUGAGACUUGAUCAUGGAAAAGAAAAGAUAUCGGAUUAAUGAAAUUAUAAACACAAACAAGCAAUGAGGUAAGUUUGUGUAACUUGAAUUGUAUUUUAAAUACUUGAAAUAUGUGGUUAUGUGAUGAAAAUAUGAUUUGAAUGUUCAAUUCAUGAUGUUUAAUGAAAUAUUGAUAAUACUCGAUAUAAAUUGAAAAUAAAUCCCAAUUGAAUGA
rnacentral:lncRNA from 1 species